rnacentral:precursor_RNA from 10 species
GUGUAUGAAGUAAAGUAGCAACCCACAACCACACAGUGAUGAGAGUUAGCUGGUGUAUAAUCUGCCAGCUCUAUCGUCAUUGUAUUGUUGUGCUUUGUGUAUUCAACACUAUGUGUG